UACGGGGGGGGCAAGCGUUGUUCGGAAUUACUGGGCGUAAAGGGCUCGUAGGUGGCCAACUAAGUCGGACGUGAAAUCCCUCGGCUUAACCGAGGAACUGCGUCCGAUACUGGUUGGCUUGAGUUUGGGAGAGGGAUGCGGAAUUCCAGGUGUAGCGGUGAAAUGCGUAGAUAUCUGGAGGAACACCGGUGGCGAAGGCGGCAUCCUGGACCAAUACUGACGCUGAGGAGCGAAAGCCAGGGGAGCAAACGGG
rnacentral:rRNA from 1 species